UACGUAGGGUGCGAGCGUUGUCCGGAAUUAUUGGGCGUAAAGAGCUUGUAGGCGGUUUGUCGCGUCUGCUGUGAAAUCUCAAGGCUCAACCUUGAGCUUGCAGUGGGUACGGGCAGACUAGAGUGUGGUAGGGGAGACUGGAAUUCCUGGUGUAGCGGUGAAAUGCGCAGAUAUCAGGAGGAACACCGGUGGCGAAGGCGGAUCUCUGGGCCUUACCUGACGCUCAGGUGCGAAAGCUAGGGGAGCGAACAGG
rnacentral:rRNA from 1 species